rnacentral:rRNA from 1 species
GACGAACGCUGGCGGCGUGCUUAACACAUGCCAGUCGAACGGAAAGGCCCUGCUUUUGUGGGGUGCUCGAGUGGCGAAAGGGUGAGUAACACGUGAGUAACCUGCCCUUGACUUUGGGAUAACUUCAGGAAACUGGGGCUAAUACCGGAUAGGAGCUCCUGCUGCAUGGUGGGGGUUGGAAAGUUUCGGCGGUUGGGGAUGGACUCGCGGCUUAUCGGCUUGUUGGUGGGGUAGUGGCUUACCAAGGCUUUGACGGGUAGCCGGCCUGAGAGGGUGACCGGCCACAUUGGGACUGAGAUACGGCCCAGACUCCUACGGGAGGCAGCAGUGGGGAAUAUUGCACAAUGGGCGGAAGCCUGAUGCAGCAACGCCGCGUGCGGGAUGACGGCCUUCGGGUUGUAAACCGCUUUCGCCUGUGACGAAGCGUGAGUGACGGUAAUGGGUAAAGAAGCACCGGCUAACUACGUG